rnacentral:rRNA from 1 species
AUUGAACGCUGGCGGCAUGCCUUACACAUGCAAGUCGAACGGUAACAGGUCUUCGGUUGCUGACGAGUGGCGCACGGGUGCGUAAUACAACGGAACGUGUCCGAUCGCGGGGGGAAACGAGGCGCAAGCUUUGCUCAUACCGCAUACGAUCUAAGGAUGAAAGCGGGGGAUCUCCGUACUUCGCGCGGGCGGUGCGGCCGCUUGCAGAUUAGGUAGUUGGUGAGGUAAAAGCUUACCAAGUCGACGAUCUGUAGCUGGUCUGAGAGGAUGAUCAGCCACACUGGGACUGAGACACGGCCCAGACUCCUACGGGAGGCAGCAGUGGGGAAUUUUGGGCAAUGGGCGAAAGCCUGAUGCAGCCAUGCCGCGUGCAGGAUGAAGGCCUUUGGGUUGUAAAAUGCUUUUGUUCGGAACGAAAAGCUUUUUACUAAUAAAGGGAGGUCAUGACGGUACCGAAAGAGUAAGCACCGGCUAACUACGUG